rnacentral:tRNA from 1 species
GCGAGUGUGGCGGAAUUGGCAGACGCGCUAGAUUUAGGAUCUAGUGUCCAUGACGUGGGAGUUCGAGUCUCCCCACUCGCACCA